UUCUUAGAGAUUUUUUACAAACCUGGAUCUACCUUUGAACUUAGCUUCUGCAAUGAAGUUGGAUAUGAAGAAUGCAUAACAGGCUUCCAGUGGGGUUAGUUUCUCAUUUCAAUUGCUGUGAUAAUUGAACAAAGGACUGGAUGGACCAGGCCAAACUUGGGAGCCAGAAGCUUAAUCUAGUAUUCCCAGGCCAUUAAUGGAGAGCUGUAUCAGAAGUGGAGCAAUCAGGACUUGAAACAGCACCCAGAUGGGAAGACGCCAGUUUUACCCAUUAACGCCACAGCGCCACCCCAGAUUGGACUGAUCUUACAACUUUUUUCUCAGCCAUGGCAUUGUAUCUGUGUAUACAAAGGCUAUUGAUUUUUGUGUGUUGAUUUUAUAUCUUGCAACUUCACCAAACUUCUAAGUCCAAUAGUCUCUUAGUGCAGUCUUUUGGUUUACCUAUAUGUGUAAUCAUGUCAUCUGCUAACUGGGGUAACUUGACUUCUUCCUUUCCAAUUUAUAUCCCUUUUAUUUCCUUUUCUUGUGUAAUGGCUCUUGCUAAAACUUCCAGGACUGUAUUGAAAGUGGGCAUCCUUGUCAGGUUCCACAUCUUACUGGAAAUGCUUCCAAUUUUUCUCCUACUCAAUAUGAUGCUGGUUGUGGGUUUGUCAUAUAUUGCCUUGAUUGUGUUGAGGAAUGUUGCUUCUAUACCCAAUUUGUUUGAGGUCCUCUUCAUAAAAGGAUGUUGUAUUUUGUCAAAUACUUUCUCUGUAUCUAUUCAGAUAAUCAUAUAUUGGUUUUUUUGAAGAUUCAGUUUAUUUAUUUGAGUGGCAGACUUACAGACAGAGAAAGGGAGAAACAGAGAAAGGUUUUCCAUCUGCUGAUUCACUCCCCAAAUGUCUUUAACAGCUGGAGCUAGGCUGUUCUGAAGCCUGGGGCCAGGAGCUUCUUCCCAAUCUCCCAUGUGGGUGUGGGCCCAAAUAUUUGGUACAUUUUCCACUGCUUUCCCAGGCCAUUAGCAGAGAGCUGGAUUAGAAGAACAGCUGGUAAAGGAACUGGCAACCAUAUGGGAUGCCUAUUACGCCUCAUUGCUGGUCCCAAUCAUAUGGUUUUUAUUCUUCAGUUUGCUAUUGCCAUUACAGUUAUUGAUCUAAAUAAAUCACAUUUAUUGAUUUGCGUAUGUUAAGCCAGCCUUGCAUACCAGGGAUAAAUCUCACUUGGUCCAGGUGAAUGAUCUUUCAGAGGUGUUGUUGGAUUCAAAUAGCUAAUAUUUUGUUGAGUACUUUUGCACCUAUGUUCAUCAGUAAAAUUCUUCCUCUUUCUUUGUUGUAUCUUUUUCUGAUUUUGGAAUUAAGGUUAUGCUAAUCUCAUAGAAGGAGUUUGGGAAGAUUCCCUCAUUACAAUUGUUUUGAAUAGUUUGAGAAUUGAAAUUAAUUCUUUAAAAAGUUUGGUAGAAUUUAGCAGUGAAGCCAUCUAGUCCUGGGUUUUCUUUGUCGGCGGCGCGGCGGGGUGGGGGGGUCUUUAUUACUAUUUCAAUUUU